CGAUGAAGAACGCAGCGAAAUGCGAUAAGUAAUGUGAAUUGCAGAAUUCAGUGAAUCAUCGAAUCUUUGAACGCACCUUGCGCUCCUUGGUAUUCCGAGGAGCAUGCCUGUUUGAGUGUCAUUAAAUUCUCAACCUUCCAACUUUUAUUAGCUUGGAUAGGCUUGGAUGUGGGGGUUGCAGGCUUCAUCAAUGAGGUCAGCUCUUCUUAAAUGCAUUAGCGGAACUUUUGUGGACCGUCUAUUGGUGUGAUAAUUAUCUACGCCGUGGAUGAGAAACAGCUUUAUCAAGUUCAGCUUCUAACCGUCCAUUGACUUGGACAAUUUUGACAAUUUGACCUCAAAUCAGGUAGGACUACCCGCUGAACUUAAGCAUAUCAAUAAGCGGAGGAAAAGAAACUAACAAGGAUUCCCCUAGUAACUGCGAGUGAAGCGGGAAAAGCUCAAAUUUAAAAUCUGGCAGUCUUUGGCUGUCCGAGUUGUAAUCUAGAGAAGUAUUAUCCGCGCUGGACCGUGUACAAGUCUCCUGGAAUGGAGCGUCAUAGAGGGUGAGAAUCCCGUCUUUGACACGGACUGCCAGGGCUUUGUGAUGUGCUCUCGAAGAGUCGAGUUGUUUGGGAAUGCAGCUCAAAAUGGGUGGUAAAUUCCAUCUAAAGCUAAAUAUUGGCGAGAGACCGAUAGCGAACAAGUACCGUGAGGGAAAGAUGAAAAGAACUUUGGAAAGAGAGUUAAACAGUACGUGAAAUUGCUGAAAGGGAAACGCUUGAAGUCAGUCGCAUUGGCCAGGGAUCAACCUUGCUUUUUUGCUUGGCUUACUUUCUGGUUGAUGGGUCAGCAUCAAUUUUGACUGGUAGAAAAAGUUCAAGGGAAUGUGGCAUCUUCGGAUGUGUUAUAGCCUUUGUUCACAUAUAUCAGUUGGGAUUGAGGAACUCAGCACGCCGCAAGGCCGGGUUUUUAACCACGUACGUGCUUAGGAUGCUGGCAUAAUGGCUUUAAUCGACCCGUCUUGAAACACGG
rnacentral:rRNA from 1 species